rnacentral:tRNA from 1 species
GCCUGGGUGGCUCAGUCGGUUAAGCGCCAGACUUUCGGCUCAGGUCAUGAUCUCACGGCUCGUGGGUUCGAACCCCAUGUCGGGCU